rnacentral:lncRNA from 1 species
UCCCCCCCCUCCUUUUUUUUUUUGUAGUACUCGUGGAUCCAUCAAAUAAUAAUUCUACUUGAAACUAUCACAUGCAUCAUAGCAUCAUAGAUCCACCAUUAAGUGAUGAUAGGAGACAGAAAAGGAAAAGUUUUUUUUUUUUUUAAGAUGUUUUUUUUUGGGGGGAAAGUGGACAUUCCUUACAAAUUUAUUAAAAUGAAUUAGCGAAUGAGCGCAAAUUAUAGUGGAGGUUCAUAUAAUGGUGUUGUUGUAAGAUAAAAAUAGCAAGAGUUACAAGAAGGUUAAUACAUGACAACCGGUAG